AUGAGUUACACUUGCUGUAUUUCCUAGCUUCCUUUAAGAUAUUUCUGGUACCCCUGAGGGAAAGGUGCUGCGGGAGCUGGGCCUUCUUGUGUGAAUGGAUCCCUGUGGAAGUCCCUGUAGUCUUAACACAAAGCAGUGCUGCUGGAGAUGUGAAAUGAGUUCAUCGGCAUGGAAAUAAUGCAGCUGAAAUGCCUCCCCCGCAAACGGGAGCCUGAAGUCAGCGCAGUACUCCGGCCUCACCAAAGGGCCCUUCGUCAGAGGAAGAAAAUAAUUUUGGGAGGGCUGUGAUUCACUAACUGACCUGGGGAAAACCCCUUCCCAGCGGAGCAAGCCAAAUAUAACCAGUCUGACGACUUCUGGAGCACCCAUGUAACCUUUAUAGCUCCCGGUGUCAUGGCUGCCCUGUUGUACCUGGGAGAUGAGGCACCUGCGCCACGGGGAGCUCCAGAAGUUUUCCGUCCCCUCCUGAGCAAGGCCCCUGUGUGCAUCAUUGUUUACAUCCCAAGCCACUUUGCAAGUCCACAUCUCUGCUGGUAACCUGGGAAGCAAGGAGGCUGCAUGGAGCAGGCUUUUGGCUGCUGCUAAACUCUGAAGCGUUUGCUGUGGUUAGAACGGAAGACAGGGGAGGACUGAAGGAAUGAAAUACCAGAGAAUCCAGCAAAAUCAGCUUAUCACUGGGUGGCUGCAGGGCAGUGG